UGGGGGAUAUUGCACAAUGGGGGAAACCCUGAUGCAGCGACGCCGCGUGGGUGAAGGAGCACUUCGGUGCGUAAAGCCCUAUCGGCAGGGAAGAAAAGGGGGAAACCUCAGACGGUACCUGACUAAGAAGCCCCGGCUAACUACGUGCC
rnacentral:rRNA from 1 species